rnacentral:tRNA from 1 species
CAGAGAAUAGUUUAUAAAAAAUAUUAAUUUUGGAGAUUAAUGAUAAGGAAGUUUCUUUUCUCUGA